rnacentral:rRNA from 1 species
AAGGAAAGGCUUACGUGAUACCUAGCACCCAGAGACGAGAAGGCGUAGUAAGCGACGAAAUGCUUCGGGAUGAAAAUAAGCGUAGAUCCGGAGAUCCCGAAUAGGUCAACCUUCGAACGCUGCGAAUCCAUGGGCAGGCAAGAGACAACCUGGCGAACUGAAAACAUCUUAGUAGCCAGAGAAAAGAAAGCAAAGCGAUUCCCGUAGUAGCGGCGAGCGAAAUGGGAGCAGCCUAAACGUGAAAACGGGGUUGUGGGAGAGCGAUAACAAGCGUCGUGCUGCUAGGCGAAAGCGGUGGAGUCUGCACCCUAGAUGGCGAGAGCCAGUACCGAAAGCAUCACUAGCUUACGCCUGACCCGAGUACAUGGGCACGUGGAAUCCCGUGUGAAUCAGCAAGGAACCACCUUGCAAGGCUAAAUACUCCUGGUGACCGAUAGCGAAGUAGUACCUGGUGAGGGAAGGUGAAAAGAACCCCCAACGGGGAGUGAAAUAGAACAUGAAACCGUAAGCUCCCAAGCAGUGGAGGACCCGGGCUCUGACCGCGUGCCUGUGAAGAAUGAGCCGGCGACUCAUAGGCAGGCUGGUUAAGGAACCACCGGAGCCGUAGCGAAAGCGAGUCUUCAAUGGGCAAAUUGUCACUGCUUAUGGACCCGAACCUGGGUAUCUAUCCAUGACCAGGAUGAAGCUUGGGUGAAACUAAUGUGGAGUCCGAACCGACUGAUGUGAAGAAUCAGCGGAUGAGUUGUGGUUAGGGUGAAAACCACUCGAACCCAGAGCUAGCUGUCCCCCGAAAUGCGUUGAGGCGCAGCAGUUGAACUGGACAUCUAGGGGUAAAGCACGUUUCGGUGCGGGCCGCGAAGCGGUACCCAAAUCGAGGCAAACUCUGAAUACUAGAUAUGACCUCAAAAUAAUAGGGGUCAAGGUCGGCCAGUGAGACGAUGGGGAAAAGCUUCAAUCGUCGAGAGAAACAGCCCGAUCACCAGCUAAGCCCCUAAAUGACCGCUCAGAAAAAGGAGGUAGGUGCAGAACAGCGAGGUUGCCUAGAAGCAGCCACCCUGAAAGAGUGGCAAUAGCCACUGAUCGAGCGCUCUUGCGCCGAAGAUGAACGGGCUAAGCGAUCUGCCGGAAGCUGUGGGAUGUAAAAAUGCAUCGGUAGGGAGCGUUCCGCCUAGGGGAAAGCAACCGCGCGAGCGGGCGUGGACGAAGCGGAAGCGAGAAUGUCGGCUGAGUAACGCAAACAUUGUGAGAAUCCAAUGCCCGAAAACCCAAGGUCCUCCGCAAGGUUCGUCCACGGAGGGGAUCAGGCCUAAGAUAGGCCGAAAGCGUAGUCGAUGGACAACAGGGAAUAUUCCUGUACUACCCCUUGUUGGUCCCGAGGACGAGGAGCAGUUAGCCGAAAGAUGGUUAUCGGUUCAAGGACGCAAGGUGCCCCUGCUUUUCAGGGAAGAAGGGAGAGAAAAUGCCCCGAGCCAAUGUCGAGUACCAGGCGCUACGGCGCUGAAGUAACCCAUGCUAUACUCCCAGGAAAAGCUCGAACGACCUUCAACAAAAGGUACCUGUACCCGAAACCGACACAGGUGGUAGGUAGAGAAUACCUAGGGCGCGAGACAACUCUCUCUAAGAACUCGCAAAAAUAGCCCCGUAACUUCGGAGAAGGGGGCCUCCUCACAAAGGGUCGCAGUGACCAGCCCGGCGACUGUUUACCAAAAAACACAGUCUCCGCAAAGUCGUAAGACCAUGUAUGGGGGCUGACGCCUGCCCAUGCCGGAAGGUCAAGGAAUUGGUGACCUGAUGACAGGGACCGGCGACCGAAGCCCCGGUGAACGGCGGCCGAACUAAACGGUCCUAAGCGAGCGAAAUUCCUUGUCGGGUAAGUUCCGACCCGCACGAAAGCGUAACGAUCUGGGCACUGUCUCGGAGAGAGCUCGGUGAAAUAGACAUGCUGUGAAGAUCGGACUACCUGCACCUGGACAGAAAGACCCUAUGAAAGCUCACUGUUCCCUGGAUGGCUUUGGGCUUUUCCUGCGCAGCUUAGUGGAAGGCGAAGAAGGCCUCCUUCCGGGGGGCCCGAGCCAUCAGUGAGAUACCCACUCUGGAAGAGCUAGAAUCAACCUUGGUCAGACCUACGGGCCAAGGGACAGUCCAGGUAGACAGUUUCAGGGCGUAGGCCUCCCAAAAGUAACGGAGGACGUCAAAGGUUCCUCGGGCCGGACGGAGAUGGCCCCGAGUGCAAAGGCAGAAGGAGCUGACUGCAAGACCCACCCGUCGAGCAGGGACGAAAGUCGCCUUAGUGAUCCGACGUGCCGAGUGGAAGGGCCGUCGCUCAACGAUAAAAGUUACUCUAGGGAAACAGGCUGAUCUUCCCAAGAGCUCACAUCGACGGGAAGGUUGGCACCUCGAGUCGGCUCUCGCCACCUGGGCUGUAGUAGUCCAAGGGUUGGGCUGUUCGCCCAUUAAAGCGGUACGUGAGCUGGGUUCAGAACGUCGUGAGACAGUUCGGUCCAUAUCCGGUGUGGGCGUUAGAGCAUUGAGAGGACUUUCCCUAGUACGAAGGACCGGGAAGACGCACCUCUGGGUACCAGUUACGUGCCCACGGUAAACGCUGGGUAGCCAAGGCGGAGCGGAUAACGCUGAAAGCAUCUAAGUAGUAAGCCCACCCCAAGAUAGCCUCCUACCGACUUCCCCAGAGCCUACGUAGCACAGCCGAGACAGCGACGUUCUCUGCCCCUGCGGGAGGAGCGACAGAAGUUUUGAGAAUUCAAGAGAAGUCACGGCGAGACGAGCCGUUAUCAUACGAUAGGUGUCAAGUGGAAGUGCAGUGAUGUAUGCAGCUGAGCAUCCUAACAGACCGGUAGACUGAACC